UACGAAGGGGGCUAGCGUUGCUCGGAAUGACUGGGCGUAAAGGGCGCGUAGGCGGAUGGCACAGUCAGAUGUGAAAUUCCCGGGCUUAACCUGGGGGCUGCAUUUUGAUACGUGUGAUCUAGAGUGAGGAAGAGGGUCGUGGAAUUCCCAGUGUAGAGGUGAAAAUUCGUAGAUAUUGGGAAGAACACCGGUGGCGAAGGCGGCGACCUGGUCCUUGACUGACGCUGAGGCGCGAAAAGCGUGGGGGGAGCAAAACAGG
rnacentral:rRNA from 1 species